UACGGAGGGUGCAAGCGUGAUCCGGAUUUACUGGGUUUAAAGGGUGCGCAGGCGGAUAUGUAAGUCAGUGGUGAAAUCUCCGGGCUUAACCCGGAAACUGCCGUUGAUACUAUAUAUCUUGAAUGCUGUGGAGGUAAGCAGAAUAUGUCAUGUAGCGGUGAAAUGCUUAGAGAUGACAUAGAAUACCUAUUGCGAAGGCAGCUUACUACGCAGAUAUUGACGCUCAUGCACGAAAGCGUGGGGAUCAAACAGG
rnacentral:rRNA from 1 species